AUGAAUUUCCACAAAAUGAAUAAGUCAUCAAUUACACAAAUGCGUUAAACCAUGAAAUUGAAAAAUGAAGUAUCUCUUUCUCCUGAAUAAUGUUCACGAAUGCAUGCUAGUUCAAAAUUAUUGAUCAUUAUUGAGAAACAGUUGUAUUUUGAAUUAAUUCACAUCAAUUUUCAAAAAUAAUAUUGUACUUUAGUUUUUAGAAUUGAUGUUGAUUGUUUCUUUCAGCGAAUUUUGUGAUAGAAUAUUUUUCCGUUUUGUACUUCAUAAAUUUUCUAGUAACAUCCAAAGUUUUCUUGUGAGUUUCCACAAUAAUACAAACAUCAAACAUAAAAAUUGAGCAAUCUUUAUAAAUUGACUUUUCAAGGUAUACACCUAUGUACGACUAUAAAAAUGAUUCGAAAAUUUGUAUAGUUACGUAUUUUUACAUUUUCAUGGAAUUAAAUGUUCAUCGCCCUUCCUUCUUCACUUCUAGCGCACUGAAAUUUAAGUAAUUCCAUCUUUUCAAUCUUGAAAAGGAUAGAAUUUUCAUUAAUUUUAUGUAUUUCAUCAUUGCAUUUAAAAUCUAAUUUGUUAUGGAUCUCAUAACAAUAGACCGUGAAACAAAGGUUACAGAUAGAAGAAAAAUAUGUUAUUCUUACACCUAUCAUCAAGAAAAUUAAUGAAGCUACAACAGAGAGAAAAAAAUAUGACCAGGAAAUUAAGAAGUUAUUAGAGGAACUGAAAGAGGCAAAGAAGAACCUGCACAAUACACACAUAAAUUUCUCUAUUUAUGUGAAGGAGUUGAUAGCCAAAAAAGAAAGAAUUGAAAAAAAAAAUGGAUCAAAGGCAGUUGUGGUUAACAAGCAUCCACCAACUUUUACAUCUACUCCAAAAAAAAA